rnacentral:rRNA from 1 species
GAUGAACGCUGGCGGCGUGCCUAAUACAUGCCAGUCGAGCGAACGGACGAGAAUCUUGCUUCUCUGAUGUUAGCGGCGGACGGGUGAGUAACACGUGGAUAACCUACCUAUAAGACUGGGAUAACUUCGGGAAACCGGAGCUAAUACCGGAUAAUAUUUUGAACCGCAUGGUUCAAAAGUGAAAGACGGUCUUUCUGUCACUUAUAGAUGGAUCCGCGCUGCAUUAGCUAGUUGGUAAGGUAACGGCUUACCAAGGCAACGAUGCAUAGCCGACCUGAGAGGGUGAUCGGCCAAACUGGAACUGAGACACGGUCCAGACGCCUACGGGAGGCAGCAGUAGGGAAUAUUCCGCAAUGGGCGAAAGCAUGACGGAGCAACGCCGCGUGAGUGAUGAAGGUCUUCGGAUCGUAAAACUCUGUUAUUAGGGAAGAACAUAUGUGUAAGUAACUGUGCACAUCUUGACGGUACCUAAUCAGAAAGCCACGGCUAACUACGUG